UGUAAAUGUGGUUUUAUUUUCAUUUAACUUUCAAGAUAAAUUACUAAAAGCGUCUUUUGAAGACGUUCUGACUCAAGAUUCUCAAGUACAGAAACUAGUACUAUAAUCCUCAUUCAUUCCCACCACGCCUGGAAGCCCUCGCUUUAGUGAGCAGCACAGUUCACCAGAAGCAGUGAACUUGGCGGACUUAGGACCGCGCGGAAGCCAAGUUUCCUCCAUAGUUGGAAUCCUUCAGCCCCUGGGAACCGGCGUCUCGUUCAUGACGUCACCGGCCCUCCCGGAAGUCCCGUGAAUGAUGCCGGGGGCGUGUCCUCAGGUCGGUCCGCGUGCGGUUACCUGAGAAACGCGCGGGCUUCAGCGUGGCCGAGUUGGCUAGCUUGGCUUCUGAGGAGACCCUCGCGCUGCUCUGCGGCCCGGGCGGCGCCAUGGAGGUGGUGGAGGCCGCCGCGCAGCUGCAGACGCUCAAGUUCGGCGGCUCCGGCCAGGGGUCGGCAGCACCGCAGCCACCUGAGGAUCGCCGGGAGGCCCCGCCGCCGGGGGUGCAGCCGCCGCCGCCAGCCCCGAGCUCGGAUCCCGGCGGAAGACCACCGCCGCUGCCAGCCCCGAGCUCGGAUCCCGGCGGAAGACCACCGCCGCUGCCAGCCCCGAACUCGGAUCCCGGCGGAAGACCACCGCCGCUGCCAGCCCCGAGCUCGGAUCCCGGCGGAAGACCACCGCCGCUGCCAGCCCCGAACUCGGAUCCCGGCGGAAGACCACCGCCGCUGCCAGCCCCGAGCUCGGAUCCCGGCGGAAGACCACCGCCGCUGCCAGCCCCGAACUCGGAUCCCGGCGGAAGACCACCGCCGCCGCCAGCCCCGAGCUCGGAUCCCGGCGGAAGACCACCGCCGCCGCCAGCCCCGAACUGGGAUGCGGGCGGAAGACCACCACCGCCGCCAGCCCCGAACUCGGAUCCCGGCGGAAGACCGACUCCGCCGCUGCCAGCCCUGAACUGGGAUGCGGGCGGAAGACCACCGCCGCCGGGCGGGGCCUGGGUCACCGGCCGGAACGCCGCGGAGCCGCCGCCAGUGCUGCAGGCCUCGGACUCCUCGGACUCGGAUUCGGACAGUGAAACAGAUUCAGAUAGCUCCAGCUCCUCCUCUUCGUCGUCCUCUUCAUCUUCAUCCUGUGUAUCAUUUCCUCCUGUGUUGUCAGAUGGAGAUGAGGAUUUUCAACUUGAGAAAGAAAAUAAGAAUUUUCCUCUUAAAACAAAAGAUGAAUUGCUUCUUAAUAUAAUAGGAAAAAUAAAAAUUGAGUCAUGGCUCUCAGUACUCCAGAGAUUGGAUCCUACUUUCCAAGCAUAUCUGAUCAGUGAAGGCUCACCUAAUAGUUUAAGGAACUACCUUCUGUUGAAGAACUCACUGUAAUUCUGCCUGAAGACAUUGCACUAAAGCCUCUUGGGAAGGUUUCAAGCAUUAUUGAACAAUUAGUAAUAAUUGAGUCUGUGACUAACAUACCUCCAGUUAAUGAGGAUACUGUCAUUUUCAAAAGUGAUCGACAAGCAGCAGGGAAGAUAUUUGAGAUAUUUGGACCUGUUGCCCAUCCAUUUUAUGUGUUACGGUUUAAUUCAUCAGAUCACAUUGAGAGUAAAGGUAUCAAAAUAAAUGACACGAUGUAUUUUGCUCCAUCAAUGAAAGACUUCACUCAAUAUAUAUUCACAGAAAAGCUCAAACAGGACAGAGGAUCGGACGCUUCUUGGAAGAAUGAUCAGGAACCCCCUCCAGAAGUCUUGGACUUCAGUGACGAUGAGAAAGAAAAAGAAGCCAAACAGAGAAAAAAAUCUCAGAUUCAAGGCCGCAAAAAACUCAAAUCUGAAUUGAAUGAGUCAGGUGAAGAUUUUGGUGAAGUGCAUGAGAAUUGGAAUGCUUAUAGCUCUUCAGAACAUUCAAAAGGAUAUCACCACAGGGAAUUCUCAAGAGGCUUUGCGAGGGGUAGAUACUCUCGAAGAAGCCAUGGCAGGCCUCCACCUCAGCAGUACUAUAACUCAGACCAUAUGGCAUCUCAAGAGAGUUUGGGAUUUACACCUCAGAGACAAGAUAAUCCUGUCAUGCCCCACUAUCCUUUUCCCCCGCCCAUGUUUGAUAUGCAUAACUUUCCACUUCCGCCCCCACCCCCACCCCCGCCUCCGCCCCCACCAAGCAUGGGGUGGGCUGCACCUAGCAUGGCCUCUCAUCCUGUGCUUAACUUACCAUACUCCAUGCCCCCACCACCUCUUCCUCCACCACCUCCACCUCCCCCUCCCUCUCCUGGGGAAAAUAAUUCUUCUCAUUUUGGGCCUUAUUUUUAGUUGUAUGCUUGUAUUUCAGAGAAAUAUGAUAAAAAAGAAAAUUUAACAUAUAUUGUAGAACUAGAUUAUUUUUUAUAAAAACAUUGUAAAAUACUAAAUCAAAUGACUCAGUUGUACAUUCAUAUAUAUUUUUAAUAACUCAGUUGUAAGCUCAUAUAUAUUUGUAACCUUUAUGAAAUGAUAUUGCUAGGGAAAGUUCAUCUCAUUCUUAGGAAACUCCAGUUCAUGUAAUAAUUAAAUACAAUGUUGUCUCAUGUCCUCUGCUACCCACAGCAGGUAAACAGCGUGCAUAGUGAUGGUUAUGACACAGGGUUCAUCAUGGCCGCUGAUACACUGAACACCGAUGGAAAACUUGACACUUGGUUUAUAAGUGCAAGAAUUCUUUUUUUAUUUACACAUUGAAGACUUUAUUGAAAAUAUUUCUAAUAAUAACCACUAUUUUGUGUGGUUUAGCUCACUUUACCAAAUAAAAUAGAGCAAAUAGAGCACAUCUUGAGAAGUCUAAUUAUAUAUUACUUCAUAACUUAAUCAUUAAUCAGGUAUAGGCAUUUAUUUAAUAUACAUUAGAACUAUGAUUCAAUUUUUAAUUUUAUUGACCUACUAAAGGCAAAAGAAUAAGUUGUCUGCUCCCUUCCUGUAAUAACAGGGUCUAAAAUCACUUGGAGUCCUAAAAACAAGCAAACUCACAUGUUUGAGUUCUUCUGCUCCUGAAUUUGUUAUUUUUUUGAUACUUGCUUCUAUUACCUUUUAUAUAUAUAUGGUUAUCCUAGUGCAAAAAUUCAUUAGACUUGAUUCCCUUAAGCAAGUUAGAAGUGUGAAGGAGGAAGACAUUGGCUGAAGCUCUCAUAAUACUAGUGGGUUAGUAGUCACUGUGCAUUGACAGACUUGUGUUGUCUAUGUAGCUGUCAGUUAGUUAGAAAGCUUUACUGUUCCACUGUGUACAUUAAGGCAUGUGUUGGUAUAUAUGUGUAUUCUGUGUCUAGUCACAGGCUCUCCAGUACCUGACAUGUGUAACGUGUAAUAAAGGCAUAUUAAAUGACUGA